ACUAGUCAGCAUGCAUGCAACAAUGGGAUUUUCUAAUUUCUAAACUACUGUAUCUGUCAAAACAGGAAAUUGCACUCUUGUGUGUGUCUUCACUUUGCAUUUUCCAUGAGUUAAGCAUAUUUUUUUCUAUAAAUUUCUGUAGUCAAAUUGUUUUCCUUUACGUUGUGUAACGAGUGAGCUAAUCCUCUCAAGAAUGUUCAUUAUAUCAGUGGCAUGCUUUCUCCUGUUGGGGUCUGAUGCAACAGAUGUUCUUUAUGUCAACACUACCGUUGGUGAAUCUACAGUACUCCCAUGUAUCCUGAUGCUCCCCGCUAACACUGACUUAAAGUAUCUACGCUUUUACUGGCAAGAUGAAAGACAGCAAGUUUUGUACUCUUUUAAUGAAGGGAAGGUGAUGCCUAAGCAUGUAAAUAAACUCUAUCGAGACCGGAUCACAGCCUUCCCACAGGACAUGACAGGAGGAAAUAUUUCACUCAAAUUUGAAUACCCAACACUAGAAGAUAACCACAGGGUUUUUCGUGCUUUUGGAGCAGUUUUUGACAGCACAGGGAUGAAGAGAUUCAUAAUUGAACAUAGAGAAAUCUGCCAAAUGACCUUACAUGUUGCAGUUCCCUACGAGCAUAUCAGCCUGACUGUAAAUGAAGAAACAAUGACUGCAGUCUGCGCUACACAAAGAGGAUUCCCCAAACCUUUGGUAGAGUGGAGACUUCAGAACCAUUCUGACAACACCCAACACCUCUUAGACCCGCAUGAUGUGAACACCACAGCAGCGCCGGACCCUCAAGAUCAUCUCUACAGUCUCACAAGCACCAUAGUUAUCCCUAGAGGUCCAUAUCAAUCUGUAGCCUGCCUCGUCCACAACCCUACCCUAAAUGUGACUCUGAUCGCCACCCACGUACUAACCAAAGGUGAAGCAGAGAGGAGCCGGCUCAGCUUGGCUGGAGCUCUGAUGGUGGCUGCUGCUGCUGUUCUCAUUUACUAAAUAAGUCCUGUGAUGUUUGACCCAUCCACCACCCCAUCCAACCUCCCAUUGCGGAUUUUCAGCCUUUCGUACAUCUUCCAACCCUGUGUAGCUGGCUGCUCUCCCCGGUGUGUUCUACAAACACACUGAAGGGCACGUUUUGCGUUGCUUCUGACACUGACAGCCACUGCCCAAACGUCCGUAUUUUACGAGUUUGGAGUGAGAAUGGGUUGGAACAGGGCCAUUUUAUGUUAAAAGGCACUUAGAGCUCAUGGGGGCAAAGUCCUGGGAUGCACUACAUCGUCGCCCCUCCUCCCUUUCUACACUGGACCGUUGGAGCCCCUUUGUCCCUGGUUCCCAUGUCUCUGCUGGGAUUAAUCCCUGAACCACAGGUGUGAUAAUCCCAAACAGAAUGGCGCUGCUGAACACAGGGACUGACAGUGCUCAGGCCCCAGUCUGCUUUGAUCAGAGGGCCAACAGCUGUGUUCCUGUCCGUCCACAAACUGAGUCUAGGACCUGCCUUCAGAGUGACGGGGGGACAAAACAAAGCACGCUUGUUCUACCGAGGCUGAGGAUGCUGUUUGGUAGACAGACUGUAAUGUAAUGCAAAGUGUUAGAGGUGUUUGAAAAAUCCCCUGACCACAGGCUUCCUGUUUCUAUGACAUGUGCGUCACCAAACCACAAUGACUUCCAACUUCCACUUUGCUGGUGCUUUAGUGUUCCUCUGCUGACAUUGAUUUGUACGUAUCUUGAUAUAAAAAUACCUAGUAAAGAAGAAGAAAGAGAAGAAGAAAAUACCUAGUUCUUUGACCUCUUGAAACACAAAUAUCUUAAUGCCUUCAACACCAACAAACACUAAUAAUGGUUUUAUCUUCAGAUAAAUGAUCUUUUGCCUAACACAAUCUUGCCAUUUGACAUGACUAUAGUCAACCUUACAUCGGGUCACAUCAUUGCACACAUUAUUGGGUAUAGUUCCUCUUGCUCAGAUUCUUCAGAAAGUUUCUCUUCCUCUCUUUAGAGCAGAUUAUUUCUGACAUGUGGCUACCUUGCUGAUGUUUAGUAGGUACAAUGUUCACAAUGUUCACAAUGUUUACCAUCUUAGUUUACUUAACACAAAGCACAGCUGAGGGUGAUGGCCGUGCCAUUAGUUGUGCAGGUAUUUGGUCAAACAAUGUAUUGGACAGGUUGAAAUGUUGACCUGAUGAUGGCACCAGAGGAAAAGUUAAGGAACCACCAAAGUUAUUAAAAGUUAUCCUGAGGGGAACAUACCAAAUGUCUGUACCAAAUUGGAGGUUCUCCCAAAAGGAGUAAACAACUUUACAAUACCAAAAUAAAUGCGUAAAUGUUCCUGA